rnacentral:rRNA from 1 species
AUUGAACGCUGGCGGCAGGCCUAACACAUGCAAGUCGAACGGUAGCAGGAGAAAGCUUGCUUUCUUGCUGACGAGUGGCGGACGGGUGAGUAAUGCUUGGGAAUCUGGCUUAUGGAGGGGGAUAACUACGGGAAACUGUAGCUAAUACCGCGUAGAAUCGGAAGAUGAAAGUGCGGGACCGCAAGGCCGCAUGCCAUGAGAUGAGCCCAAGUGGGAUUAGGUAGUUGGUGGGGUAAGGGCCUACCAAGCCUGCGAUCUCUAGCUGGUCUGAGAGGAUGGCCAGCCACACUGGAACUGAGACACGGUCCAGACUCCUACGGGAGGCAGCAGUGGGGAAUAUUGCGCAAUGGGGGGAACCCUGACGCAGCCAUGCCGCGUGAAUGAAGAAGGCCUUCGGGUUGUAAAGUUCUUUCGGUAUUGAGGAAGGUUGAUGUGUUAAUAGUACAUCAAAUUGACGUUAAAUACAGAAGAAGCACCGGCUAACUCCGUG